ACAGAGGCAUAUACUUAUAGACAACCAUUGGACUGAAGUCUGCAAGGACUGAAGGAACUGAAGGAAGUGAAGGAGAUAGCAACUAAAUUGAACCCUGUGGAAUUCCUAAAGACUAAGCCACCAACUAAAGGGCAUACAUGGGCUGAGCCACGGCUCCUGGCACGUAUAUAGCUGAAGACUGACUGCCUUGUUUGGCCCCAGGAUGUGCCAAAUCCUAUAGAGACUUUAUGCCCCAGAGAAGGGGGAUGCCCAGGAAGGGGGCAUCCUCUCAGGGGAGAAGAGGGAGGCAUAAGGUGAAGAACUCUGGCAUGUAAAUAAAUAAAAUAAUUAAUU
rnacentral:lncRNA from 1 species